CUAACACAUGCAAGUCGAACGAAGUAGCAAUACUUAGUGGCAGACGGGUGAGUAACAUGUGGGUAUCUACCCUUUGGCCUGGAAUAACACGAGGAAACUUGUGCUAAUACCGGAUAAGUCUUUACGGAGAAAGCUUUAUGCACCAUUGGAUGAGCCCGCACUUGAUUAGUUUGUUGGUAGGGUAAUGGCCUACCAAGACUAUGAUCAAUAGCUGAUUUGAGAGGAUGAUCAGCCACAUUGGGACUGAGACACGGCCCAAACUCCUACGGGAGGCAGCAGUGGGGAAUCUUGCACAAUGGAGGAAACUCUGAUGCAGCGAUGCCGCGUGAGUGAAGAAGGCCCUUGGGUUGUAAAGCUCUUUCGUCGGGGAAGAAAAUGACUGUACCCGAAUAAGAAGGUCCGGCUAACU
rnacentral:rRNA from 1 species